UACGUAGGGUGCGAGCGUUGUCCGGAAUUAUUGGGCGUAAAGGGCUCGUAGGCGGUUUGCCGCGUCGGGAGUGAAAACCUUGGGCUUAACUCAGGGCUUGCUUUCGAUACGGGCAGACUAGAGGUAUGCAGGGGAGAACGGAAUUCCUGGUGUAGCGGUGAAAUGCGCAGAUAUCAGGAGGAACACCGGUGGCGAAGGCGGGUCUCUGGGCCGAAACUGACGCUGAGGAGCGAAAGCGUGGGGAGCGAACAGG
rnacentral:rRNA from 1 species